UGUGGCCAGGAUUCGAACCAUAAUUAAACAGAUUUACAGUCUCAAUGCUCUACCAACUGAGCCAUAGUAAC